rnacentral:misc_RNA from 1 species
UUUCCGUAGGUGAACCUGCGGAAGGAUCAUUCAUAAUAAAGUGUUUUGUGGCACUUUUUAAAAAUCCAUAUCCACCUUGUGUGCAAUGUUAGAUCUCGUCAAUCUUGGCGAGAUUUUUAUACAUCAACUCAUUCUUUAACUAAUUUGUCUGAAAAAUAUUGUGAAUACUUAAUUCAAAAUACAACUUUCAACAACGGAUCUCUUGGCUCUC